GAUGAACGCUAGCUACAGGCUUAACACAUGCAAGUCGAGGGGCAGCAGGGAUUUAGCUUGCUAAAUUCGCUGGCGACCGGCGCACGGGUGCGUAACGCGUAUCCAACUUUCCCGUUACUCAGGGAUAGCCUUCCGAAAGGGAGAUUAAUACCUGAUGGUGUUUGAAAUUCGCAUGUUCUUCAAACUAAAGAUUUAUCGGUAACGGAUAGGGAUGCGUGACAUUAGAUAGUAGGCGGGGUAACGGCCCACCUAGUCUACGAUGUCUAGGGGUUCUGAGAGGAAGGUCCCCCACACUGGAACUGAGACACGGUCCAGACUCCUACGGGAGGCAGCAGUGAGGAAUAUUGGUCAAUGGUCGGAAGACUGAACCAGCCAAGUAGCGUGAAGGAUGAAGGUUCUAUGGAUUGUAAACUUCUUUUAUAUAGGAAUAAAACCUCCCACGUGUGGGAGCUUGUAUGUACUAUAUGAAUAAGCAUCGGCUAACUCCGUG
rnacentral:rRNA from 1 species